GUGGCCAGCCAGAGAGCCUGUCCACAGCCACUGUCCCAGAGGAACUGCAGCAGAAUGCAAAGAAAACGUCAUAGAACCAUACAUUAUUUGAGUGCUGUUUGUGCUGUUUAGUGUCUACUGCUAUCAUACUCCAGCUAAUGUGGCAACAUGCCAUUUUUAGUCUUACUAAGGGAUGAGUAGAAGCACUCCGAAGUGUCCUCUGAAACAAAAUAGGAGAACCUGAUCUGAACUGGCCAAAUCAUAUCAUCGAAUUUCCCUUUAGAUCAGCCAUGCAAGCUCGCUUUUCAUAAUGCUUUUGCUAUAUUUUUGUGAUAUUGAGAAAAUAGCAGAGAAGCUUACAGUGAGGCCUUCCAGGUCCUUUAUUUUGCCAAGAAAAAAUUGCUGGGUUCUAAAACUUAAGGAUGCAUUUAGUACCAACUAGAAAAUUUACGAAAACACAGAUUACUGGAUUCUAACCCAAGAAUUUCCGAAUUAGGAGCUUUGGGGUGGGACCCAAGAAUGUGUAUUUCUAUAAACUGUCCAGGCGGUGAUGACGCUGCUGGUUUGAGGCCACUGAAGGAGAGAAAUACAUGAAAAGAACUGGACUCUUCCCAAAGCAGCUUAGUUAAUUCCCUGAUUCCACCCUCCUCAACAGACAUUCUGAUCCAUCUUUUUGUUCUCCUCUCCUUAAAACGACUCCAAAGAAAACUGAAAAAUUACAAAUUUGGUCCUAUUAAUGUAACAGCUGAGGAUGAGUAAAGACAAUUCUCUUCUCGUGGUCUGAGAAAAUAAUCUAUAAAAAACAGAAGAAAUACUGCAAUGAUUAGGAAGAACAAACAUGGCCUUAAUUUGAAGAACGAGCUUCGCGAGUACAGCUGGCAAGAGCACGGAGUGUCCCCUGCAGAGCAGAGCCCGCGCCUUCGCGGAGGCCGCGCGUGGCCGGCCCUGGGCGUGCAACCGCAGGCACAAAUUCUCGGCUGGCUAUCGUUCAGGCUAUGAAGUGUUGAUGGUCAAAAAGAGUCACUGAAGCACCAAAUAGAAGUGCAUAGUAAUUCAAAAGCAUAAUUAGAUCUUAAAAGAAAAUCGAGCUAUUUGCUUAUGGUUUAAAAUAAUAACAACUAUUCAGUAUUUUUAAAUGACUUCUAUCUAACUGAAAUUAAAUAUGUUUGUGUUUCUGUCCUGCAAAAGUUAAUUAUCCUGUUGUCUCAUUAUUAAAAGCCUGUGCAUACAGUU